AUCACCCUGGAGGCUGUUGGACAACUGGGUCUCUCAGAGCUGUAGCUGUGCUGCGGGCAAAGGCUUCUGUAGCCAUAUAACCGCUCUGUUCCAGACAGCGCAUUAUGUGCAGCUGGGCCUUGAUGUGGUUCCACCUUCCCUGGCCUGUACCAGUCAACCACAGAUGUGGCAUCGACCUCAGUGUUUCCCCUAGAAUUUUUUUUAGGCCCGGUGGCCUGGCGGGGGCGCUCGUUGGCCUGGCGGCCCGCCAGGCCUGAACAAUGGUAGGGGAAACACUGGACCUCGAACCCAUGUGUGCUGUUGUGUCCUCUGUUCAAAUCAUACACUUCAGUAUUUGUCUAGAGUAUAUGCAUUUCCUGUAUUGUUGUUCGCCUCAGGGAAUCCAUCCAGAGGCUGUGAGUGACCUGGUGGUGAAGAAACCCAAGUCGGUGGGGAAGACUGGAGUCAAGUCCACACUCUACAGAGCGUAUGCUGAGGGAAUAUCCAGCUUGGAGUUGGUACCAUCUCAGCUGUGCUGACCUGGAAGAUGUCAGCAAUGACCUGUUCUUUAAGGCCAGUUGCUACUCUACAACAGUAGAUGAAAACUCAUCAAUGACUGGAAUCUUCCUUGAAGGGCGUGGUGUUGGAAUCGCCUCUUGUCCAAUCCUCUGUGCUUUGCUCCAAUGAAGAAUAUAUUGUGUUGAGGGGCAAAACAGACUCCCAAAACACUUGAAACACUUCUUGAGAUGGAAACCGAGUAUAAUAUGUCAUGGUCUGAUCAGACACACAAAACCUGUUGAGGACAGUUUGUGGCCCCAUGGACAUUUCUUGCAGCCUUGCCUCCAGCUCAGCAAUAUACUCCAGGGCAUCAUCCAGUGCACCUACAAAAAAAGAAGACAAAUAAGUCUUCAUUACCAUUCAUUCGUAUUCACCCUUUCUUUUUAUUGUAUUGUUAUUCUGUAUACUUAUAUUUCUUAUUAUUAAAUUUAUUUGUACUGUUUUCUGUUUUUAUUUUUUAUGUAUUAACUAUAGGUUGAGUGUACAUAGAGUAAAAACCAAAGUCAUAUUCCUCGUUUGUUCGCAAACCUGGCCAAUAAAGCUGAAUCUGAAUUAAUAUGCAACCCCAGUUUAACAGUACGUCUGAUGUUGAUUGAAUGUUUUAACGUUAACCAUGCCAUGUUUGGCAAAAUUAUACAAUAGCCCAACAAGUGUUGAACACAAAUAACAGACAUAACAGCUAGUUAGCACACAUCUACUUACCGGCAGGGGGGCGUGUCGCGUAGUCAUGUUCCCCGGUACCUCUCAGGUCCGUUCGUGUUUUGUCCUCUCCUUCAGCUUUUCGAGCUGACACCCGUUUAUACACGGGUGUUUUUUUCGGGGCUGUGGUGUAGCUGUUCCAGUCAAAACGACUAGGAACAGCUCCAGUAUUCAGCGUAGCACUCCCGUCGUCAUAAUCAGCCGCUGAGAAAUGCCGACUACAGACCAGUGUACUCCCCUUCUGAAUUACGAAAUUAACUCCUUCAUUCCGUCUGAUCGCCACUGCUGUAUUGGGUAUUAUUUGGGAAGUCGUGGACAUGUAAAUACGGUUGUUUUUGUUUUGAAUUGGCGCAUAGAGGUACACAACAGAAGCUUUUGUUUUUUGACCGCGCCAUUGUCAAAUAUCAUGGACUACGCGACCGGAAGUCACUUUACCCGGUGAAGGCAAAAUCGAACGCCGAACCAGGAAGUUGUGAGAUAGGCCUAUUCAGACAAAUAAUCGACAAUAAUCGCCGUGGCACUGAAAAAUGUGUAAUCCCCGCCCAACAGCGUGGGCCUCAAUUACGUCCGCGUGCGGCGUGCCUCAACGACGUCCGCAUUUCGCAGAUAUACCGUAGUCGGGCGCCGGCGGACGUUCUGCUCCCAAUAAACAGCUUUUCUUCAGAUAUUUAAAGGACAAUGGGGCCGACACUUAAAAGGCUUCGCCUAUACUCAGAAUCUAGAGUUACAUGUCUCAAGGUUUUCAGUAGCUGUGUAUAUGAGCACAUUUUACUAGUAUGUGUGAAAGCAUUUUAGUAGUUAAUGUAAAAGGUUUCACUAGUUGUUACGAGAGCUUUUCAGUUGUUUGAGUGAAGGUGUUUCAGUUGUGUAUGUAAAAGCUUUCACUUGUGUAUGUGUGAGGUUUUCAGUAUAGUAUGUGAAUGGUUUCAUAUGUGUGUGAGAGAAAAUUUUUCAGCUGGGUUUAUUUUACCAGUAUGUGUGAAAGCAUUUCAGUAGUCCAUGUAAAAGGUUUCACUAGGUUGUAUGCAAGCUUUUCAGUUGUGUAUGUGAGCGUAUCAUUUUUCAGUUGGUUGUGUGAGAGUGUUUCAGUUGUGUAUGUAAAAGCUUUUCACUUGUAUGUGUGCAAGUUUUUCAGUAUAGUAU
rnacentral:lncRNA from 1 species